GGAUGCGAUCAUACCAGCACUAAUGCACCGGAUCCCAUCAGAACUCUGAAGUUAAGCGUGCUUGGGCGAGAGUAGUACUAGGAUGGGUGACCCCUUGGGAAGUCCUCGUGUUGCAUCCC
rfam:Ipomoea nil DNA, scaffold: scaffold2742, cultivar: Tokyo-kokei standard.